rnacentral:rRNA from 1 species
AGUGAACGCUGGCGGUAGGCCUAACACAUGCAAGUCGAACGGCAGCACAGUAAGAGCUUGCUCUUACGGGUGGCGAGUGGCGGACGGGUGAGGAAUACAUCGGAAUCUACUUUUUCGUGGAGGAUAACGUAGGGAAACUUAAGCUAAUACCGCAUACGACCUACGGGUGAAAGCAGGGGAUCUUCGCACCUUGCGCGAUUGAAUGCGCCGAUGUCGGAUUAGCUAGUUGGCGGGGUAAAGGCCAACCAAGGCGACGAUCCGUAGCUGGUCUGAGAGGAUGAUCAGCCACAUGAGAACGGAGACACGCUCCAGACUCCUACGGGAGGCAGCAGUGGGGAAUAUGGGACAGUGGGCGCAAGCCUGACCCAGCCAUACCGCGUGGGUGAAGAAGGCGUUCGGGUUGUAAAGCCCUUUUGUUGGUAAAGAACAGCAGCAGGUUAAUACCCCGCUGUUCUGACGGUACCCAAAGAAUAAGCACCGGCUAACUUCGUG